rnacentral:rRNA from 1 species
CUCCGACUCCUCGCAUGGGGUGUCGGGAAAGAUUAUAUCGGUAUGGGAUGGGGUCGCGUCCUAUCAGGUAGUCGGCGGGGUAACGGCCCACCGAGCCUACGACGGGUAGCCGGCCUGAGAGGGCGACCGGCCACAUUGGGACUGAGAUACGGCCCAGACUCCUACGGGAGGCAGCAGUGGGGAAUAUUGCACAAUGGGCGCAAGCCUGAUGCAGCGACGCCGCGUGCGGGAUGACGGCCUUCGGGUUGUAAACCGCUUUUGAUCGGGAGCAAGCCUUCGGGUGAGUGUACCUUCCGAAUAAGCACCGGCUAACUACGUGCCAGCAGCCGCGGUAAUACGUAGGGUGCAAGCGUUAUCCGGAAUUAUUGGGCGUAAAGGGCUCGUAGGCGGUUCGUCGCGUCCGGUGUGAAAGUCCAUCGCUUAACGGUGGAUCUGCGCCGGGUACGGGCGGG